AGUGAACGCUGGCGGUAGGCCUAACACAUGCAAGUCGAACGGCAGCACAGUAAGAGCUUGCUCUUACGGGUGGCGAGUGGCGGACGGGUGAGGAAUACAUCGGAAUCUACUUUUUCGUGGGGGAUAACGUAGAGAAACUUACGCUAAUACCGCAUACUACCUACGGGUGAAAGCAGGGGAUCUUCGGACCUUGCGCGAUUGAAUGAGCCGAUGUCGGAUUAGCUAGUUGGCGGGGUAAAGGCCCACCAAGGCGACGAUCCGUAGCUGGUCUGAGAGGAUGAUCAGCCACACUGGAACUGAGACACGGUCCAGACUCCUACGGGAGGCAGCAGUGGGGAAUAUUGGACAAUGGGCGCAAGCCUGAUCCAGCCAUACCGCGUGGGUGAAGAAGGCCUUCGGGUUGUAAAGCACUUUUGUUGGGAAAGAAAAGCAGCAGGUUAAUACCCCGAUGUUCUGACGGUACCCAAAGAAUAAGCACCGGCUAACUUCGUG
rnacentral:rRNA from 1 species